rnacentral:lncRNA from 1 species
CUUGGGGAUCUGAGAAGUCUUUUCCAAUCUGAAUGAUUCUAUGGUUCAAUUCUAAGAUUCUGUGGAUACCCCAUCCUUGCAAGUGCUCAAGACCAGUUUGGACAGGCCCUGGGCAACAUGGUCUGGUGACUGGUUGCCACCCACUGGGGUUGGAACAGGACGAUCUCUGUGCACCUUCCAACCCAAACACCUAUAAGCCACCUUUUGCAUCACAGCAAAGGUUUUGCUUCACUGAGGCUGGAUAAGAAGGGCCAGGACCGCUCCUGGCUUGGCCAUCUCAUCAGCCGGACCCAGACUGGUCCCUGUGAGAUGCAUGGCAGGAGCAUUCUUUCUCAGAGCUGAUUGCAGUUCUUCUGUGUGCAUGGGAGCAGCCUUGGAAGCAGCCUGGUUUCCUGAAAGUACAUAACUUUUAUUGAAAAAUAGGAUUUUCCCCUCCGAUUUAUUUUCCUUGUCGUGAAAGCGUCACGGUCACUUCUGUUGAGCCAAAUGAAACCCAGUUUUAGUCUGUGUCCUUAGGAGUGUUUGAAAUACCAUGGAGAAAGUCUGCAGGUUGGUUUUGAAGCCAUCCAAAGGGUAAAAGUGCUGGAUUGGUUUGUAUCUCAAACCUCUCUCACCCCACUUGUCUGCAUGGAGCUCCACAGUACCUACCUCCAAGGAGGGGAAUAUUUGACACGUGGGCCUGUUUGUGUUGAACUCAAGACUGUUUUUACUCAGUGCAGGGAAAUGUCAUUGGGCUCCUUUUGGUGUCACUUUGCUGUUCCCAAGCAGUUUCCUGGAAAGACAGCAGGAAGCCAAACGUGCAUACAUUUCUGAAGCGCUCGGGUAUUUCCAAGUGAUGCAACCUCAGAUUCCUUCCCUAGCCACCCCCCCUUCCCUUUUGCUUCAAAACCCUUUUUGGCCUCAAAGUUCAGCUUGUCUUUCUGUUGUUUUGUUUCCGAGUUCUGGAGGCAGAGCCCUACAGCAGGAGGAGGUGGGCAGCCCGCAGCCAGGUGCAGGGGGGGCUGGGGGGGAAGCUGCUCCUUUGGGGAACCCUUGCUCCGGCUUAUAGGGCCAUCUGGGACUGUGGGACCGACUGUGUGAUCCUCCCACGGUCUGGACCCAUCAGCAGACAAAGUCAUGCUCAACAUCUCUGUAAUUAAUCUGGAUCCCGGAGGUCGCGGUUCGAACACAGCCAAAUUGUCCUGGGGAAGCAACACCCUCUGGAUCUGGUGUUUCUCACAGGUACUGCAUGGGACUGGGAAGCAGCUGAGCACCGACUCAGUGCUGGGGCUCCUGGUGAUGCUCGCUGUGAGAUGGUGGCAGCACAGCUGUGAUCUCACAUGGGGAUCUGCCUUCAUACUGCCCACCUCCCCGUACAGCUCAGUCUUAGGAAGGCAAAAUGGAGUAAAAACUCAUCUGUUGGUCGGAAAAGGCUCUGCACAGUGGUUUACUCUGGUGGGACAUGGACGUGGGAUGGCAACCUCAGAGAUGGAAAGGAGAGAUUAUUUUCCUUUCCUAUUUAUAAGUCCACAAAGACUUAUAAAGAAAAAUCCUGCCUUCCUGUAUAGGACAAAGCCUUCUGAAAUAACCUGCCAGAAAUUUCCAGCAAUGCUCAGGCUUUCUGAGCCCUGUUCUGGAAGGACGAUGGUGCUGCCAGCCUUUGUGUGGGCUCAGGGGUCCCAAGUUCCAGCUCCUCGACUUGAUGUGGGACUGAUGAAUUGCUCACCCUGCCUUCAGAAACCAUCCAUGUGGGGCAGACCUGCAUGUCCUGAGGUCCUGCAGUUCCCCAUGACAGCUCUUGUUUUCAUAUCGACCAAACAAUGCAGCCAGGACCGUGAGUGUCCUGUCCUGUUUUCCCCACUGGCUCUGCCCCAUAGGUGAGCUGUGGGAGAGGAGAGGACCAGCAGCCCAGUGCCGAGGUCGGGAUGUGCAACAAGCCAAGCAGCUCUUGUUUUGCAGCUCUGUACGCGGCAGCGUGGCUAAAUGUGGAGGCAGGUUUGAAGGCACGCUCAUUUAACUCCCCAGCCAACGUCUGAUUCCAGGCAUGCCUCUUUCACAGAGUUUAGUUGCACAUUUGCAGAGCAACAGUUCUGCAAGUGGAACUCUGCAGGCAGCCUGGUGGGGCCAAUGCUGACUGCUGCUGUUGGGUGCUCAUGAGUGAGAGAACAGGAGAUGGAGUCAGGGAACGUCUGAGACCAAUAUUGGGAUGAAGUAGGAGGAGAGGGAGGUUUUAAAGUCUUGGUCAAGCUGUUUCCUGUGCUGGUUUUGGAUUUCUCUUGUAGCUUGGCUGUGUCCUGUUGCAAGGAAUACAGCUCCCAUUGACUCCAGCAGGACCAGAGCUGGACCAGAGGGGCCUUUGGUGCAAGAGAGGCUGCAAGAAAGGAUUCGGCUUUAUCUGUCGGUGAGCCUGUUCAUUCUCUCACCUGUUGAUGGGUCAAAUUUUGAAGCUGUGACUCAGUCUGAACUUUCAGUGGCUUUUGCACCUGGUGAUUUAAAUAUCUGUCUGCACGGGAGGUGAACGCCAAGCGGCAUCCCUAGCUGCAGCUCCGUACCAGGUUACCUUCCCCUUUCCCCCCUCCAGCUGUUUACUAUUUCCCUCCCACCUCCACCCUGACUCAGAAGAAUGGGACACGAAUCCUCCCACCUCACCCACUCCAGUACAAUGCUUGGCAGCUGCUGGGGAAAAAGAGUUUGGGUGAAGCUGCCAGGCUUUGCCCAGGAGCCAUGGGGGAGAGCACGAGAGCUGUUCCACCAACGCAGCUGCCGGCAGCAGGAGCCUCCGGCACGAGGGAGCAGACGAGCCAGCUGCUGGGGGUGCUGAUAACAUCUGGACCCACCCGACGAGAGCGCAUCUCCCCGUGCUGAACGUGGUGAAGGCUCACACCAGCCUCUGCUCAUCGCCUGCCCUGAAUCCCUUUGGUGAAACUCGUUGGCAUCGGAGGAACUGGGUCUGGAGGAGCUCAGCCCUGCUGGUGUCGGUGUGGGGCUCGGAGGUGCGGUGGGUGGCAGAGCUCCCCAGGAGCCCCCCAGCCCCUCCUCAGCAGGAGGCAGGCUUCCUUUCUCUGCUCUGCGCACUGUCCAAUCCCAAGGCUGUUCCUGUGGGUCAGCAUUGCCCAUGAUGGGUUUGGUCUCCAUGCCGUGGUCCAACAGCCAGCCUACUCCGAGCGUGCUGCUGCUGGAGCUGUGUCUUUUUUUCUCCAUCAUGUUCUUGAAGAAGUGGGAGCUCUGUGGAGCAGUGAUGAUGAAUGCUGUUCUGCUGGGAUCUGUCCUCUUCACUUCCUCAAACACAAGCAAAUAAGAAGUGAUUGUAAUGCUAGCUGCUGUCUCCAGAUCAAAAGCGCUAAAGCAACACUUUGAGAACUGAGAAGGGCACGGUCUGAGCCUCCCCUCAACCCCACACCUCCCAACGCUGCCGUAAAAUCUGUGCUGAAAAAGGACCAGCAAAUACCAGCCUCCUCCUCCUCCUCCUCGUCCCAUCGCUCCCUCUUUGGGCACAGCGAUUCCGGCUCCGUCCCCUCACCUGAGGGCUGUGCUGAGCGUCCCCACCUGCAGUGGCUGCUCGUCCCAUCCCGGUGCUGCCAUCCCAUCUCCUGCAGGACAGACCCUGUGCCAAGCGUAGGGCGCAGCAUCUGUCCUCAUCCAGGAGCACUGUGGAGCCGUGGCUACGGAGCCGUGCCUUUCGGUCACCAGCUGGUGCCUUUGUGUUGCCCAUACGUGUUCAGUGAUGCAGGAGGAGAUCUUUGGGAUGCUGUGGGGUUGGUCUGAUGUCGGGCAUGAGCCUCGCUGGGUUCCUCCCUCGUUAUCCAUCUCUUUAAGCAUCUGAGACCCUCAGUGCCUCAGUUUCCCCACACGUGUCUGUAACAGUGGGCACAGCUCCCUGAGCCACCCAUAGGCUCUGUGCUCCAGUCCCCAUCUCACAGGACACAGUGCUGGGCCACGAUGCCAAUCUCUGCAGUCCCAACCUCCACACACCCAGAAGGCAUUGAGGAGCACUGCGGCAUCCCCCACCUGUGUGCCUUGUCCCAGCUUGGGGUCAGUGCCAGUGGGUGCUCUGAGCCCACCCUGAGCCCCAUCCCUGUGCUGGUGGGGCAUUUCCACGUCCUUCUGGUGAACCAGCUCAUGACUCCCAUGGUUAAUGUUUGCCUUAACCCCUCUUUCCACACAUUGAUUUGUAUUUGCAUCAUGCCCUGGCCACGGUGCUCAGGAACGCAGGGUGCUUGCAGGGCUCCCCCCACGAGCAGCAGUGUCCCCCAGCCAUGGCUAAGGUCAUUCUUCAUGGGUUUCCCAGCAGCACUGGGGCCUCCAUCCUUUCUCUCCCAUUUAAUCCCAUGAAUUAAACACCGCCUUCACCGCGGAGCGCCGAGCGGUGCCGGCGUAAUGUCCAAGUUUUACGACUUGCCUUGAAGGCACCUAUCGAUUGGGGUCCUCUCUGGAUGAUGGAGCUUUUAGUGCAUCCUGGGCUGUCCGAGCAGGGCUGGAUCCUCAGCCCACGGGGCUCAGCCGCGCCGUGCCGUCACGUCCCCGUGCCCCAUCUCCAUGGGUCCCAUGGGGAGGCGGCAGGCGGGGCCCUCAGUGCCCACACGGCGCCUUUAAGAAGCCCACAACCAGCUCCAGGAACACGAGCUCAAGGUCACAGUGGGAAACCUGCGGACUUGGCAGCGAGGAGAGGAGAGGAGAGCGGGCGGAGGGGAGGAGGAGGGAGGAGGGAAGCAGCUGGGGAUAAAACCCAAAUUCUGGCGGGGAAGAGGGGACGGAGGGGAGCGGGGAGGUGAGGUGCAGGGGGGUCCCACCCAGGGGUGCCUAACUGUGGCACCUUGAGGCCCUGUGCCGCAUCCCCCGGCGCGGCACCCGGACGCCCUCUGGGAGGUUUGGGGUUACCGAAGGCACCGGGAAUGAGGCGGCUGCUCCUGGUCUGGGUUUGGAGAUGCCCGUUUUUAAUUUUCAUCAGCAGAAUUAAUCUGCGGAGCUGCUCCCCCCCCCCCCCCCCCCCCCCCUCCUCCUCCCCUCCCCUUCCUUUCCUCACUGGUUUCGACGGAGAAUUUGAUCACUUCUCCCAGGAGCUCGGCACCAUUAACAUUCACUCCUGGCGCGCACGAGCCGCGCUGCAUCGCCAAGCGCAUCGCCAGCUGUGGGCUGUGGGCUGUGGGCACCUCGACCCCCAUCAGCAGCCCCAGCCCUUGGCCUGGCACCAUCCUCACCCCCACCGAGCCGGGGAGGGGCUGCUUUAUUUCUGUGUCCGCUCCCCCGUAGAAAAAUGAAGGGCACAGCAUAGGAUCAGUGGGUGCUGCCCUUCUCCUGCUUCCAGCCAGCCUUGGGCUCGGAUCUGGAGGUGUCCGGAGGGUCGUGGCCUCAGGGUUUGCUCUGCAGCUGCUGGGACACCUGGGGCUGUCCAAUAUGAUGGAAACCAGAAAGCACUCCGGGGGUAGGAUCCAAAUCUUGCACCAUUUCACAUUUUAAGGGAUGCCAAGUGGUCACCCUGGGCUGCCCCAGAGUUGCAUAAAGUUGUGGACUUUUUUUUUCUUUAAUAAAGGUUAAUAAAGAAUUAACUCCUUAUUGCUGUUAUUAUUACUCCAUCACUGUCACUAUCACUAUUACCAUUACCAUUGCUAUUACUAUUGCCAUUGCUGCUAUUGCUGUUGUUGCUGCUAUUGCUAUAACUAUUGCUAUUUCUAUUGCUACUAUUCCCAUUUCCAUUUCUAUUCCCAUUCCUGUUCUCAUUCCUCUUCCUCUUCCCAUUCCUAUUCCUAUUCCCAUUCCCAUUCUCAUUCCUGUUCCCAUCCGUAUUCCCAUUCCCAUUCCUAUUCCAAUUCCAAUUCC